rnacentral:rRNA from 1 species
AACGGCCGUACCAUGCUGAAUAUACCGGUUCUCGUUAGAUCACCGAAGUUAAGCAUCAUUGGGCGCGGUCAGUACUUGGGUGGGUGACCACCUGGGAACACUGCGUGCCGU